rnacentral:rRNA from 1 species
UGAAGCUGGAAUUGCUAGUAAUCACAGGUCAGCAUACUGUGGUGAAUACGUUCCCGGGCCUUGCACACACCGCCCGUCACACCAUGAGAGUUGAGAAUACCCGAAGCCCAUGUCAAAGUGGUCGAAGGUAGGCUUGAUGAUUGGGGUGAAGUCGUAACAAGGUAAC